CAAGCAGUGGGAGCACAGAGCAAUCUGUGUGACUGCGUACCUUUUGUAUAAUGGGUCAGCGACUUAUAUUCUGUAGCAAGGUUAACCGAAUAGGGGAGCCGAAGGGAAACCGAGUCUUAACUGGGCGUUAAGUUGCAGGGUAUAGACCCGAAACCCGGUGAUCUAGCCAUGGGCAGGUUGAAGGUUGGGUAACACUAACUGGAGGACCGAACCGACUAAUGUUGAAAAAUUAGCGGAUGACUUGUGGCUGGGGGUGAAAGGCCAAUCAAACCGGGAGAUAGCUGGUUCUCCCCGAAAGCUAUUUAGGUAGCGCCUCGUGAAUUCAUCUCCGGGGGUAGAGCACUGUUUCGGCAAGGGGGUCAUCCCGACUUACCAACCCGAUGCAAACUGCGAAUACCGGAGAAUGUUAUCACGGGAGACACACGGCGGGUGCUAACGUCCGUCGUGAAGAGGGAAACAACCCAGACCGCCAGCUAAGGUCCCAAAGUCAUGGUUAAGUGGGAAACGAUGUGGGAAGGCCCAGACAGCCAGGAUGUUGGCUUAGAAGCAGCCAUCAUUUAAAGAAAGCGUAAUAGCUCACUGGUCGAGUCGGCCUGCGCGGAAGAUGUAACGGGGCUAAACCAUGCACCGAAGCUGCGGCAGCGACGCUUAUGCGUUGUUGGGUA
rnacentral:rRNA from 1 species